UACCUUUGCAAACGAUUAGGUUCUAUACGGAUUAAAAAGGGAAUGCCGUGAAAAUCGGCAACAGACCCGCUGCUGUAAGCUUCAAAAAAAUUUUUCACUACUGCACCACUGAUUGAAAACAAUCGGGAAGGAAUAGAAAAAUGAAGUAAGUCAGAAGACCUGCCUGAUUGGUUUAAUAUUA
rnacentral:ncRNA from 2 species